AGUUGUUGCAGUUAAAAAGCUCGUAGUUGGAUUUCUGGCGGGAGCAGCCUGUCCUGCCCUUUGCGGGGUUGAGCACAAGCGCUGCAUCCGGCCAUCCUUGUGGAGAGCGUUUCUGGCAUUCAGUUGUCGGACUCGGGAUCCGCAUCGUUUACUGUGAAAAAAUUAGAGUGUUUAAAGCAGGCAUUUGCUUGAAUACAUUAGCAUGGAAUAAUAAGAUAGGACUUAGUCGUUAUUUUGUUGGUCUUGCACGUCUAGGUAAUGAUUAAUAGGGAUAGUUGGGGGUAUUCAUAUUUAAUUGUCAGAGGUGAAAUUCUUGGAUUUAUGAAAGAUGAACUUAUGCGAAAGCAUUUACCAUGGAUGUUUUCAUUAAUCAAGAACGAAAGUUAGGGGAUCGAAGAUGAUUAGAUACCAUCGUAGUCUUAACCAUAAACUAUGCCGACUAGGGAUUGGGGGAUGUUAUUUUGUUUGACUCUCUCAGCACCUUAUGAGAAAUCAAAGUCUUUGGGUUCCGGGGGGAGUAUGGUCGCAAGGCUGAAACUUAAAGGAAUUGACGGAAGGGCACCACCAGGAGUGGAGCCUGCGGCUUAAUUUGACUCAACAC
rnacentral:rRNA from 1 species